ACCUUGGGGAUGCUGCGACGGCUGUAAGUGUGAGGACCAGCUGUAUGUUGGUUUUUCAGCACCAUCAUAAAUCCAAACCAUCACUAAAUGAAUGGUUGUUAAGUGAGGAUUACUUGUACCAAUGAUUUUCCACUGGGUGACUUCAUUAUUUUAUUAUCUUUUGCCUUUGAGUUAUUGUUGAUUCCUGGUUACUGCCUGGACUAGUGCCUGCAGUUUUCUUGGCAAGAUUUUGGAAGUGCUUUGCCAUUGCCUGCUUCCCAGGGCUGAGAGAGAAUGACUGGCCCAAGGUCACCCAUCUGACUUCAUUCCUAAGGAAAACCACUGGACCACAGCUACAAUGGGCAGAUUGAUGUAGCCCAGAAAAGAAAUGGAAUAUUCCAGAGGCUCCAGAACACUGAUUCUUCAGAAAAGGUCAAUUCUGCACCUCCCUAAAAUGCAAUCGUAAAUUGUGACCAAGUCUUUCUAUCUGCAAGAAAAUACAGCCAACUAUUUAGACAGAACUGGGCACAAUUAUUCCACACAAGACUCUAUUUCCUUAUCAGUGAAUCUGAGUACGUAUAAAUACCUCUUUGAAUGAUCUUCUGAGUUAGACUGGGAAAACAGUUGUUAUCCGCAUCCCUGAUCCCUACUGUACCAUUGUUUCUGACAAAAUUAUACUGUAUCUCCUUCACAGGAACUCUGACAUCAAA